GUUGUUGUAAACAUCCCCGACUGGAAGCUGUACCACACAGCUAAGCUUUCAGUCAGAUGUUUGCUGCUAC
ensembl:miRNA MIR30D microRNA 30d